ensembl:snoRNA U3 Small nucleolar RNA U3
AAAAUUAUACUUUCAGGGAUCAUCUCUAUGGUUUGUUACUAGAGAAGUUUCUGUGAAUGUGUAGAACACUGGCAAUCGCAAGGCCAAGGCUCAGCAUUCUCACCUAAGCAUGAAGUUAGCUCUUGAUGUUGGUUGGCUGCAACUGCCAUUUGCCAUUAAUGUCCAUUUUUCUCUUCCUGUGGUAGAGGAAAAGGGAGAGAAUGCACUUUGAGUGGU